GGCCGGAUAAGGCGUUCACGCCGCAUCCGGCUGUGGUGGCCAAUGCCUGAAGCGCCACGCUUAUCAGGCC
rnacentral:ncRNA from 1 species